AUGUUGGAAAGGGUCAAGAUUUCUGCACAAAGGCUUAGAAUGUUAACAUUUGAUGCAUGCGAAAAGCUGUUAAAGCUGUUGGAGCUUGAAAUUGAUAGUACAAAUCUGUCAUCAUUCAAAUACCGUAGUUUAGAGAAUGUAUUUCCUAUGAUUUUUCCAAAGAAUGCUUCAUGUCCUUUUGAGCUUACUUUUACAUUAGAUAAUCUUGUUGACAUUCUUUGGUUCCUCAAGUUGAGGGAAGUUCUAGUAAUGUCAAAUCAAAGAAAAGUUUUGAAGCUAACAGUCAUUUGUGAAAAGGUUCCAUUUAAUCUUGAAGAUUUGAGAGGAAUUACACCUCCUCUGUCAUUCGAACUUGAACUUAUGAUGCUAUACGUACGGAUCUCGGCACUGUCAAUAGAUUAUGGAAGUCUUAUAGAUGGCUUGCUUUGGAGUUGUCGUCCAAAACAAUUGUCAUUGCCAACAGGUAUAGACAAUAAACAUCACCAAGGACCUGACCAUUUUGUGCUUGCUAGCCUCGUUAAGGCAUGUACUACCUUGGGCGCUAUUAGGAAAGGCAAGCAAGUGCAUGCCCACUUUGUGUUGUCCCCAUUUCGUGACGACAAUGUUGUCAAGUCAUCCUUAGUUGAUUUGUAUGCCGAGUGUGGAUUACUUGCACAUGGGGUUUUCGAUUAAAUUUCUUUGAAAAAUUCAGUUUAUUGGACUGCUAUGAUAUCCGGGUAUGCUCGACAUGGGAGGAAAUCAGAGGCUAGUGACCUAUUUCAGAGAGUACCAGUCAGGAAUUUAUUUUCUUGGACAGCCUUUAUUUCAGGGUCGGUACAGAGUGGGAAUGGGGUUGAUGCGUUUUAUUUAUUUAUUGAAAUGCGAAGAGAAGGAGUCAACAUAGUUGAUCCAUUAGUUCUGUCAAGCAUUGUUAGUGCAAGUGCUAAUCUAGUAGUGCUGGAACUUGGGAAGCAGAUUCAUGGCCUAGUUAUCACUCUUGGUUAUGAGUCCUGCAUAUUUAUAAGUAAUGCCCUUGUAGAUAUGUAUGCCAAAUGUAGUGAUAUUCUGGCUGCAAAGGAAAUUUUUGGUAGGAUGCAACGAAGAGAUGUAGUUUCUUGGACUUCUAUAAUCGUUGGGACAGCUUACCAUGGGCAAGCAAAGGAGGCAUUGGCUAUUUAUGAUGAGAUGAUUUAUGCUGGAGUAAAGCCAAAUGAAGUGACCUUUGUUGGAUUGAUUUAUGCUUGUAGCCAUGUUGGCUUAGUAAGUAAAGGCCGUUAUCUAUUCAAAUCUAUGGAGGAUUAUGGGAUUAAUCCUUCUCUGCAGCACUACACAUGCUUCUUGGAUCUUCUUAGUCGGUCAGGACAGCUAGAUGAGGCUGAGAAUCUCAUUAAUGCAAUGCCAUUUAAGUCUGAUGAACCUACUUGGGCAGCUUUACUAAGUGCCUGCAAGCACCAUAAUAAAAUUGAAAUGGGAAUUAGGGUUGCUGAUCAUCUAUUAAGUUUAGAACCAGAAGACCCAUCUACAUAUAUACUGCUGUCUAAUAUUUAUGCUAGAGCUGAAUUGUGGGAAAAGGUUUCAAAGGUGAGAAAGUUGAUGGCAUUCAUGGAAGUUAAAAAGCAACCAGGCUAUAGUUGUAUUGAAUUGGGAAAGGAAAGCAUGGUGUUUUAUGCUGGGGAGACCGCUCAUUCUAUGAAGGAUGUGAUUUUUGGUUUGCUUAAGAAGUUGGAUGCAGAGAUGAGGAGAAGGGGUUAUGUUCCAGAUAUUAGUUCUGUUUUACAUGACAUGGAGUGGCAAGAGAAGGAAAAACAGCUAUUUUGGCAUAGUGAGAGGUUAGCUGUGGCCUCCGGGUUGCUUAAGGCUAUCCCGGGGACAGUUAUUCGGGUAGUGAAGAAUCUUCGUGUUUGUGGAGACUGUCACACAGUUUUAAAAUUUAUAAGCACCAUUAUGAAGAGGGAAAUUGUUGUCAGAGAUGCCAAUAGAUAUCACCAUUUCAAGGACGGGGAGUGUUCAUGCAAUGAUUUUUGGUGAUUUUGCGAAUCUGCGUUGGAAUUUUUCCUUUGGUUUUUCAUGUGUCUGCCAUCUAUUGAUCAUAGGUUCAAGUCUGAAUCUGCUUAUUCAAGCGUCUUGUAGU